rnacentral:sRNA from 1 species
AUGGACGAAGCGCAGGACGCGCAAAGUACAUCACAAGGACGGAACGAAGGAGACCUGCCCAGGAUGGCGGGGCGAAAGGGAAGUCAAAGGGAAACAGUCUGUAAAACCCCGCUUCGGCGGGGUUUU